rnacentral:rRNA from 1 species
GAAGGUGGCAAGCGUUGUUCGGAUUUACUGGGCGUACAGGGAGCGUAGGCGGUUCGGUAAGCCCUUUGUGAAAUCUCCAGGCUUAACCUGGAACAGUCGGAGGGGACUGCCGGGCUAGAGGACGGGAGAGGAGCGCGGAAUUCCCGGUGUAGCGGUGAAAUGCGUAGAGAUCGGGAGGAAGGCCGGUGGCGAAGGCGGCGCUCUGGAACGUUUCUGACGCUGAGGCUCGAAAGCGUGGGGAGCAAACAGGAUUAGAUACCCUGGUAGUCCACGCCUUAAACUAUGAAUACUAAGUGUCGGCGGGUUACCGCCGGUGCCGCAGCUAACGCAUUAAGUAUUCCGCCUGGGAAGUACGGCCGCAAGGUUG